GGCAGACAACUAAGAUUCAAGAUCAGAAGUCACCUGGAAAGACUGGCUGCGAUAAAAAUUUUCCUACCAGACUGUUCGCUUGUUGGUCAAGACCAUUCAAAAACUUCUCCAAUUGGUGCUUUAUCUAACCAGUGGUCAAAAAGGUAAUUUUUGCCGUUGUCUCCUUGAUCUUCUUAUGGAAAGACCAUGCUGAAUUGAAGUGUUUAACAAGAACGGUCGCUGCCUGGAAAUAUAGUGAGACCAUUCAACGAAGUCGUUAUGAAAGAGUUUAUUUUCACUAUAAGAGAAAUAUUUUUUUUAUAUUCUUUUAGUCUCUACUGAUGAAUUGCUUCCUAGAACAAUAUAAUUUAUAAUUUCUUUCAAAAUAGGUUCGUUUGAGUAA